AACAUCGCCUCCUGCAAAAAUCAAAGUAUAGGAGGUUCCACCUGCCCAGUGACUAUUAGUUAAACGGCCGCGGUAUUUUGACCGUGCUAAGGUAGCGCAAUCACUUGUCUUUUAAAUGAAGACCUGUAUGAAUGGUAUAACGAGGGCUUAACUGUCUCCCUUCUCCAGUCAAUGAAAUUGAUCUACCCGUGCAGAAGCGGGUAUAAAAAUACAAGACGAGAAGACCCUUUGGAGCUUAAGACAAAAAGCCAACCGUGUUAAAAGCCCCCAGCAAAAUUAGGCUAAACAAAACAGCAACUGGCCAACGUCUUCGGUUGGGGCGACCGCGGGGGAAAACAAAGCCCCCAUGUGGACUGGGAAUUUUCCUAAAACUAAGAGAUACAUCUCUAAGUCACAGAACAUCUGACCUAAAGAUCCGGCCCGUCAAGCCGAUCAACGAACCAAGUUACCCUAGGGAUAACAGCGCAAUCCUCUUCAAGAGUCCAUAUCGACAAGAGGGUUUACGACCUCGAUGUUGGAUCAGGACAUCCUAAUGGUGCAGCCGCUAUUAAGGGUUCGUUUGUUCAACGAUUAAAGUCCUACGUGA
rnacentral:rRNA from 1 species